AACGAACGCUGGCGGCAUGCCUAACACAUGCAAGUCGAACGCGUGUAGCAAUACACGAGUGGCGGACGGGUGAGUAACGCGUGGGAACCUGCCCAGUGGUAGGGAAUAACUGCGGGAAACUGCAGCUAAUACCCUAUGAGCCCUACGGGGGAAAGAUUUAUCGCCAUUGGAGGGGCCCGCGUCGGAUUAGCUAGUUGGUAGGGUAACGGCCUACCAAGGCGACGAUCCGUAGCUGGUCUGAGAGGAUGAUCAGCCACACUGGGACUGAGAUACGGCCCAGACUCCUACGGGAGGCAGCAGUGGGGAAUAUUGGACAAUGGGGGAAACCCUGAUCCAGCAAUGCCGCGUGAGUGAAGAAGGCCUUAGGGUUGUAAAGCUCUUUCGGCGGGGACGAUGGUGACGGUACCCGCAGAAGAAGCCCCGGCUAACUUCGUGCCAGCCGCCGCCGUAACAC
rnacentral:rRNA from 1 species